CGACAAGCGGAGGAGCAUGUGGUUAAUUCGAUGAUACGCGAGGAACUUACCUGGGCUCGAACGUAAGAUGACUGUAGGUGAAAGCUUACAUCUCUUCGGAGCAUUUUACGAGGUGCUGCAUGGUUGUCGUCAGCUCGUGCCGUGAGGUGUCGGGUUAAGUCCCAUAACGAGCGCAACCCCUACCUUUAGUUGCCAUCAGGUUAAGCUGGGGACUCUAAAGGAACUGCCUACGCAAGUAGUGAGGAAGGCGGGAAUGACGUCAAAUCAGCACGGCCCUUACGUCCAGGGCUACACACGUGCUACAAUGGCCGAUACAGAGGGCAGCUACCUGGUGACAGGAUGCAAAUCUCCAAAGUCGGUCUCAGUUCGGAUCGGAGUCUGCAACCCGACUCCGUGAAGUUGGAUUCGCUAGUAAUCGCGCAUCAGCCAUGGCGCGGUGAAUACGUUCCCGGGCCUU
rnacentral:rRNA from 1 species